rnacentral:misc_RNA from 1 species
AUAAACUGUUAACAGAGCAAAAGCAGGAUCAUAAAUUAUGCUUCUUGUUCAAUUGCACAUAUCAUUGAUAUAAAUUGUGGAACAAUUAUGAUACUAAAUGCCCUAGAUGAAUUGGUUUCUUGAUGUCUAGGAUGCUACUGAAGUAGAAAAGGAAAGGAAAGAAGGGAAAGAAGAAAAUGAGAGACUGAGAGCUGCACAUGGGAUGUAGGUAGGGCUAUAGCAAAUAUCUAUUUUGCAGGCUAUUUGAUGGAAGCAAAUCCACUACAGCACCAAGAGAUAAUAAUACCAAGAAGAAGAUAAGGGUUCAUAUGCAAUGGAAUAUUUCUAAGCUGGACCUCAUAUCUCCUGUGACUUGCAGUUUAAACACAAUUGAUUGACUGCAAUUUGCAAAGAAAUGGGACUCCCAUGGUACUUCACCUGUUUCCAGAUGAAAUCAUUAACAUUCAGUAGCUGGACCACAUCCCUCAGCUGAAAAUUGAAUUAAGUAGCUGGUUCACAAAACCAAUGCCCACAAUAUCGAUUUUCAAACCAUCAAAGUUAUCAACUGCUGUAACAGACUCAUUAGAAACCUCACAACCGUUGGGAAACUUGAUAACAUCGGAUUCCUCAGUUACCACAUCCUUAAAUUUAAGGUCAAAUAAAUACCAACACGAACUCAAGCUAAUUGAACAUUUUGCUCCCCAGUACUCCAGCUUAUCUACUGGUUGUGGCCUCGAAUAUUAAUACUCGUGUUGCAGGCUAGAAUUAUAGGAGCAAUAAAUUAGGAGAUAAACAAAACGACCAAGUUUUCCACAUAGGAAAGACAUGACAUAUAAUCUUGCACAAUCUGAAUGUAUGUAGCAUGUCCACCUGACAAUCCUGAAGCCACACUACAAGGUAGAGUGUAGAAAAGCUCUUGCAUUUCUUUCAGUGCAUGUAAACUAACAACGACAUCAAUAAUAAACAAUCAAGCAACAACCUCAGGAGUGGUUACCACAGCUGCAGCCUUAACAGAAGCAGUAGCAGCUGGUGCUGGUGCUGGUGCUGGC